AGGGGUAGCCUUUAUAUAAAUAAAAUGCGCAAGAACCGGAUCCCAUCAGAACUCCGCAGUUUAAGCGUGCUUGGGCGGGAGUAGUACUAGGAUGGGUGACUUGGUGAGAAGUCCUCCUGUUGCCCCCU
rfam:Gossypium arboreum cultivar AKA8401 contig_98328_1, whole genome shotgun sequence.